UACAGAGGUCUCGAGCGUUAGGCGGAAUCACUGGGCUUAAAGCGUGUGUAGGCGGAUUGCUAAGUACCUUGUGAAAUCCCACGGCUUAACCGUGGAACUGCUUGGUAUACUGGCUGUCUUGAGCCACUUAGGGGCAACCGGAACAAACGGUGGAGCGGUGAAAUGCGUAGAUAUCGUUUGGAACGCCAAUGGUGAAAACAGGUUGCUGGGAGUGUGCUGACGCUGAGACACGAAAGCGUGGGUAGCAAACAGG
rnacentral:rRNA from 1 species